rnacentral:rRNA from 2 species
UCUGGUGCCCAUAGCACGUUGGAACCACCCCUUCCCAUCCCGAACAGGACCGUGAAACGACGUCGCGCCGAUGAUAGUAGGUACUACGCCCGCGAAAGUAGGUCAGCGCCAGAC